rnacentral:tRNA from 1 species
GCCCUGUAGGGAGUACAUCGACUGUUAAUCGAAAGGCGCGGGUUCGAUUCCCGCCGUUGGCG